rnacentral:lncRNA from 1 species
GUUCCUGUUCCCAUUUCCGGUUCCCAUUUCCUGUUCCUGUUCCCAUUUCCGGUUCCUGUUCCCAUUUCCAGUUCCCAUUUCCUGUUUGUGUUCCCAUCUCUGUUCCCAUUUCCUGUUCCUGUUCCCAUUUCCGGUUCCUGUUCCCAUUUCCGGUUCCCGUUCCCAUUUCCCAUUCCCAUUUCCUGUUCGUGUUCCCAUCUUUGUUCCCAUUUCCGGUUCCUGUUCCCAUCUCUGUUCCCCUUUCCGGUUCCCAUUUCCUGUUCCUGUUCCCAUUCCCAUUUCCUGUUCCCAUUUUCCAUUCCCUGUUCCCAUUCCCUGUUCCCAUUUCCAGUUCCUGUUCCCAUUUCCCAUUCCCAUUUCCUGUUCCCAUCUCUGUUCCCCUUUCCGGUUCCCAUUUCCGGUUCCUGUUCCCAUUUCCCAUUCCCAUUUCCUGUUCCUGUUCCCAUCUCCGGUUCCCAUUUCCGGUUCCUGUUCCCAUUUCCGGUUCCUGUUCCCAUUCCCAUUUCCAUUCCCUGUUCCCAUUUCCUGUUCCCAUUCCCAUUUCCUGUUAUUCCCAUUCCCUGUUCCCAAUUCUUAUUUCCUGUUCGCGUUUCCCAUUUCCUGUUCCCAUUUCCUGUUCCCAUUUCCCGCUCCCCCCUUGGUUCCAGCUCUCCUUUCCCGUUCCCAUUUCCAGUUGUUUCCCAUUGUUGUUUCCCAUUGUUGUUUCCCAUUGUUGUUUCCCAUUGUUGUUUCCCAUUGUUGUUUCCCGUUGUUCCCCACCUUGUUUCCAGCUGCUCUCCCCCGUUCCCAUUUCCCAUUUCCUGUUUUUUCCCGUUGUUUCCCACUUUGUUUCCGGUGCCUCUCCCCCAUUCCCAUUUCCUGUUUCCCAUUUCCAUUUCCCGUUGUUUCCUGUUCCUGCUUCCCAUCUUGUUUCCAGCUCUUCUCCUCUCUUCUUGUUUCCCAUUUCCGUUGUUUCCCAUUUCCUGUUUCCCACCUUGUUUCCGCCUGUUCUCCUCCAUUCCCAUUCCCGUUGUUGUUUCCCGUUGUUUCCCACCUCGUUCCCGGCCGCUCUCCUCCGUUCCCAUUUCCCAUUGUUCCUUCCCAUUGUUUCCCAUUGUUGUUUCCCAUUGUUUCCCAUUGUUCUUUCCCAUUGUUUCCCAUUGUUGUUUCCCAUUGUUGUCUCCCGUUGUUGUUUCCCAUUGUUGUUUCCCAUUGUUGUCUCCCAUUGUUGUUUCCCGUUGUUGUUUCCGGUUGUUCCCCACCUGUUCCCGGCCGCUCUCCUGCGCUCCCGUUUCCCAUUUCCCAUUCCCAUUCCCAUUGUUUCCCGUUCCCGUUGUUGUUUCCCCACCUUGUUCCCGGCCGCUCUCCUGCGCUCCUGUUUCCCAUUUCCCAUUGUUUCCCAUUGUUUCCCAUUCCCGUUGUUUCCCGUUCCCGUUGUUGUUUCCCGUUCCCAUUGUUGUUUCCCAUUCCCGUUGUUGUUUCCCAUUGUUGUUUCCCAUUGUUGUCUCCCAUUGUUUCCUCCCAUUGUUUCCCAUUGUUGUUUCCCAUUGUUGUCUCCCGUUGUUGUUUCCCAUUGUUGUCUCCCGUUGUUGUUUCCCAUUGUUGUUUCCCAUUGUUGUCUCCCAUUGUUGUUUCCCGUUGUUGUUUCCGGUUGUUCCCCACCUGUUCCCGGCCGCUCUCCUGCGCUCCCGUUUCCCAUUCCCCAUUCCUGUUUCCCGUUUCCCAUUUCCCGUUUCCCAUUCCCGUUGUUGUUUCCGGCUGUUCCUUACCUUGUUCCUGGCCGCUCUCCUGCGCUCCCGUUUCCCAUUCCCCAUUCCCCAUUGUUUCCCGUUCCCGUUGUUGUUUCCGGCUGUUCCUCACCUUGUUCCCGGCCGCUCUCCUGCGCUCCCGUUUCCCAUUCCCCAUUUCCCGUUGUUGUUUCCCAUUCCCGUUCCUGUUUCCCAUUUCCCGUUGUUGUUUCCCGUUCCCGCUGUUGUUUCCGGCUGUUCCUCACCUUGUUCCCGGCCGCUCUCCUGCGCUCCCGUUUCCCAUUCUCCAUUCCUGUUUCCCGUUUCCCAUUUCCCGUUUCCCAUUCCCGUUGUUGUUUCCGGCUGUUCCUUACCUUGUUCCCGGCCGCUCUCCUGNNNNNNNNNNNNNN